rnacentral:lncRNA from 1 species
AUGAAAAGAGCACCUCUGCCACUGCUUGCUGGAUGUCAGCCUGCUCCUGUGCUCUCAACCUCUCAGGACUUACAUUACAAUUUGGGGUAUGGUGACUGUCCUACAGAUCCUGCCUUUGGUACAGACGGAGCAUUGUCUAGUCUGAAACAGGCACAGAUCAACGUAAUGUUUAUGGCUGUUCAGAACUGCAAUCUUAUUCAAGCCAAAUUUUUAAUACCAUCAUGCAGAGGAGGAGCAGAAGGAAAGUACACUGAUUUCCUAUAAUACCAGCUGAUACCAUCUGAUAUGUAGUGGAAAGGUCAUAGGGAAAUUAAGCCAAAUAUUAUUUGGAAGAAAGUAUCAAAAGAAAGAAGAGACAAGUGUAUGAAGUUAAAUCACUCACUUCAUUUACAAUUACACAACAGAAAACUGAGCUGACUGAAAGAAGAAUGUGAGAAAAUUCUGGCACCAGACAUCCCCUGCCUGUGUUGUAGCUUUCAGAAAUACCUUAACUUGGCAAUGCAGCUUUCUCCCAAGGGCUCUCUGCAGUCCAUCAUCAUGCUCCAUGUCCAACAGACAACAGCUUUGUUGAUUUAGAAAACAAAUGACUUACUGAAUUUGUGCACCAAGUAUCAAGGUCUCUUGAUGUAUUUAUUUUCUCAGUUAAAUGAAUAAACAUUUUUGAUCUAAUGUCCA